AGUGAACGCUGGCGGUAGGCCUAACACAUGCAAGUCGAACGGCAGCACAGUAAGAGCUUGCUCUUACGGGUGGCGAGUGGCGGACGGGUGAGGAAUACAUCGGAAUCUACUUUUUCGUGGGGGAUAACGUGGGGAAACUUACGCUAAUACCGCAUACGACCUACGGGUGAAAGCAGGGGAUCUUCGGACCUUGCGCGAUUGAAUGAGCCGAUGUCGGAUUAGCUAGUUGGCGGGGUAACGGCCCACCAAGGCGACGAUCCGUAGCUGGUCUGAGAGGAUGAUCAGCCACACUGGAACUGAGACACGGUCCAGACUCCUACGGGAGGCAGCAGUGGGGAAUAUUGGACAAUGGGCGCAAGCCUGAUCCAGCCAUACCGCGUGGGUGAAGAAGGCCUUCGGGUUGUAAAGCCCUUUUGUUGGGAAAGAAAAGCAGCAGGUUAAUACCCCGCUGUUCUGACGGUACCCAAAGAAUAAGCACCGGCUAACUUCGUG
rnacentral:rRNA from 1 species